CAGUGCAAUUGUAUUGUCAAAGCU
rnacentral:miRNA from 1 species